CCCUGGAGUCACCCUGAGGACAGAGGGGGACAGGUGGGGACAAAUGGGGAUGAAUGGGGAUGGAUGGGGACACCCCGAGGACGGAGGGGGACAUUUGGGGACACUUUAAGGACAAACGGGGACGCUUUGGGGACAGCUGGGGACAAAUGGGGGCGGACAGGGUCACCUGGGGAUGAAUGGGGACGGAUGGGGACACCCUGGAGUCACCCUGAGGACAGAGGGGGACACUUUGGGGGCAAACGAGGACCACUGGGGACAAAUGGGGACAGCUGGAGAUGAAUGGGGAUGGAUGGGGACACCCCGAGGAUGGAGGGGGACACUUAGGGGACACUUUAAGGACAAACAGGGACGCUUUGGGGACAGCUGAGGGCAAAUGGGGGCGGACAGGGACAGCUGGGGAUGAAUGGGGACAAAUGGGGACACCCUGGGGACAGCUGGGGACAAAUGGGGACGGACAGGGUCACCUGGGAAUGAAUGGGGACAGAUGGGGACACCCUGGAGUCACGGUGGGGACAAAUGGGGACACUCUGGGGACAAAUGGGGACACCCUGGUGACACCGUGAGAACGGAUGGGGACACGUUGGGGACAGACAGGGACCCCUGGGGACAAACAGGGACAAGCAAGGACACUGUGGGGACAAACGGGGACAAUGUGGGGACAAAUGGGGACAGCCGGUGACACCCCCACAGCCCCCAGCGAGCCACCAGCGCCUGACGUCACCGCGCCGUGGGACACCGCCUACCAAGGUACCACCGCUGCAGGGGGGUGUUGGGUUGGGGUGACACUGCCGGGUGACAAUGGGUGACAAUGCCAGGCUGGGGGUGGGGGUGACACCGCGGGGUGACGCCGCCGGGUGACAUCGCCAGGUGACACCAAUAGGUGACACCAACAGGUGACGAUGCCGGGUGACACCGCCUACCAAGGUACCACCGCUGCAGGGGGGUGUUGGGUUGGGGUGACACUGCCGGGUGACAAUGGGUGACAAUGGGUGACAAUGCCAGGCUGGGGGUGGGGGUGACACCGCGGGGUGACGCCGCCGGGUGACAGUGCCAGGUGACAGUGCCAGGUGACACCAGCAGGUGACGAUGCCGGGUGACACCAGCGGGUGACGCUGGGUGAUAAGUGGGUGACAACACCAGGUGACAGCGCCGGGUGACAACCGGGUGACAUUGUUGGGUAACAGCACAACACCGGGUGACACUGCUGGGUGACAACACUGGGUGACACCUCCGGGUGAUACUGGGUGACAACCGGGUGACAUUGCAGGGUGACACAACCAGGUGACACUGGGUGACAACCGGGUGACGUUGCG
rnacentral:lncRNA from 1 species